rnacentral:rRNA from 1 species
AUUGAACGCUGGCGGCAGGCCUAACACAUGCAAGUCGGGCGAGCGGCAGACGGGUGAGUAAUGUCUGGGGAACUGCCUGAUGGAGGGGGAUAACUACUGGAAACGGUCGCUAAUACCGCAUACCCUCAGAUGUGCCCAUAUGGGAUUAGCUGGUAGGUAGGGUAACGGCUUAAAUAGGCGACGAUCCCUAGCUGGUCUGCGAGGAUGACCAGCCACACUGGAACUGAGACACGGCCCAGACUCCUACGGGAGGCAGCAGUGGGGAAUAUUGCACAAUGGGCGCAAGCCUGAUGCAGCCAUGCCGCGUGUAUGAAGAAGGCCGUCGGGUUGUAAAGUACUUUCAGUGGGGAGGCGUUACCGGCAGAAGAAGCACCGGCUAACUCCGUGCCAGCAGCCGCGGUAAUAC